CAGCCGCCACGGGAAUACGAAGGGUGCAAGCGUUAAUCGGAAUUACUGGGCGUAAAGCGUGCGUAGGCGGCCUGGGGCGUCCCAUGUGAAAGGCCACGGCUCAACCGUGGAGGAGCGUGGGAUACGCUCAGGCUAGAGGGUGGGAGAGGGUGGUGGAAUUCCCGGAGUAGCGGUGAAAUGCGCAGAUACCGGGAGGAACGCCGAUGGCGAAGGCAGCCACCUGGUCCACUUCUGACGCUGAGGCGCGAAAGCGUGGGGAGCAAACCGGAUUAGAUACCCGGGUAGUCCCUGUCUCUUAUAA
rnacentral:rRNA from 1 species